AUCCUCGUUCGCCCACCCCGCUCAACACCAUGUGUUCAUCCAAGUCACAGCUUAGAUCCACGCCUCCUGCGUCGCACCACACCGCCAGCCAGGUGCUCCCUCUCCCUCUCAUCCGGUGCCCGGAAUGCAACGCCGGCUUCGUUGUGUGGUUUGUCUCAGGGACUGUAGAAAACCCGGGGAGGCACUUCUACAAGUGCGUAAGGCAUGGAUUCGGCGGCUGCAGAUUUUGGAAAUGGGAGAACAAGUACAUACAGUACUUCAGCGCCCGUUGGGGACACCUCAUUUCACAUGCAUCAGUCCAUCGUCAUGUAUCACUGCUUGAGGAAAAUCAAGCAUGGCUGAAGAACAUCUUCGUGCUCGGCGUCGUCAACCUGGCGGUCAUGGCCAUGAUUUGCAUGCUGAAGUUCUGGAUGUCAUUCCGGCCCCUCCCACCCGACAUGUAUCCAGCGUGCUUGAGUCAAUGUAGGUCACCGUAUGGUUGUAGCUAGCUGGUUUUCAGAGUACUACUCCUAUGUGUUUUUAUCUGCCUAGUCGACGUUUCUGUCGUUGCAUCGUGUGAUGUAAGCGCAGGGCCAAUCAAUAAUACAGACGCGCGUUUAUUUUCA